AGGGGCGUAGCUCAACGGGUGGCGCACCGGAUUCCCGACCCGACGGUCGCAGGUUCGAAUCCUGUCACCCCUG
rnacentral:tRNA from 1 species